ensembl:misc_RNA 7SK 7SK RNA
GGAUGGUGUAGGGCAUCUGUCUGUGACACUUGUUACUCCAUUAAUAGCCAGUUUUGAUGCAGCUGAUAUGGCAAGUUGGGUUGGAAUUCCCUGCCUUCCUAAACAUUCCCUGUGCAUCCUUUUGGAAGUGAUAUAAAGGGAGACAUUAGAGGUUUAUGUAGACUGGAGAGCUACAAAUAUGUCCCCAACUAACAAUUUAAGCAACAGAGGAGAGGCUACCUUAAAUGCCUUCUCCU